GACACUAGUGGUGAUAAGCUUCUAAUACAUUUAACUUGGCGUACAAAAGUGUUCCUGUGCAUGAUGUAACUGUAGGAUCAUAUAUCCUUGUUGGUGCUGGUGAGAUUGUUGAUAUUGGCAAAACUCUGCCAUUGUUCAUAGAGCUUCAAACCUUAGGUGACAGGACGUGAAGAACCAUGCUCUGCAAAGUGUCUUGUUUUCAAUGUUGCAGGUCCCAUUUAAUUUGAGUUGAACCGUUUGGUUAUGUUGGCUGUGUGAUUUCCUCACAUGUUUGUGCUAACUGAACAAUUUGAAACUAUAGGUGUGUGGCACUUAUUAGAAGCUUCUCCAUGAGAAAGAUGUAUAAACAUGAUGGAGUUUGUAAUUUGUAGUUUAUAUUUUGGAGAUUUAUAAUUCCUUAUUUUUCUUGUCCUAUGUAUCUAUCUAGUUCAUUAGGGUUCUUCAAUGUAUCUUAUUAGUUUGUACUUUAAAGUUUAUAUGUUGAAGAUUUAUAAAACAAUCUUAGUUAAAUGAAAGAUAUUUUAACUAUCUAUGUUA